CUUCACCGACCCGAGCAGCAGGGGCAGUUGGGGGUCACGGCCCUGCCCGUAGGUGGCCAGCAGCGCCUGCGCCUC
rfam:Streptomyces chattanoogensis strain NRRL ISP-5002 ISP5002contig84.1, whole genome shotgun sequence.